rnacentral:rRNA from 1 species
CCUACGGGAGGCAGCAGUAGGGAAUCUUGCGCAAUGGGCGAAAGCCUGACGCAGCAACGCCGCGUGAUCGAGACGCCCUUCGGGGUGUAAAGAUCUGUCAGUGGGGACGAAACUUGACGGUACCCACAGAGGAAGCACCGGCGAACUCCGUGCCAGCAGCCGCGGUAAUACGGGGGGUGCAAGCGUUGUCCGGAAUCAUUGGGCGUAAGGAGGUCGUAGGCGGCACGUCAAGUCUGGUGUUAAAGGCAGAGGCUCAACUUCUGUACGGCACUGGAUACUUGCGAGCUAGAAUGCGGGAGAGGUAAAGGGAAUUCCUGGUGUAGCGGUGAAAUGCGUAGAUAUCAGGAGGAACAUCGGUGGCGUAAGCGCUUUGCUGGGCCGUAAUUGACGCUGAGGAACGAAAGCCAGGGUAGCGAAUGGGAUUAGAUACCCCGGUAGUC